rnacentral:rRNA from 1 species
AGACGGAGGGCGCAAGCGUUGUUCGGAAUUACUGGGCGUAAAGCGCGGGCAGGUGGUCUGUUAAGUCGUUUGUGAAAAUCCGGGGCUCAACCCCGCGAAAUGCAGACGAUACUGGCAGGCUGGAGAUCGGUAGGGGCUAGCGGAAUUCCUGGUGUAGCGGUGGAAUGCGUAGAUAUCAGGAAGAACACCUGUGGCGAAGGCGGCUAGCUGGGCCGAGUCUGACACUCAUCCGCGAAAGCGUGGGGAGCAAACAGGAUUAGAAACCCCAGUAGUCC